AUUGAACGCUGGCGGCAGGCUUAACACAUGCAAGUCGAGCGGGGGAAGGUAGCUUGCUACCGGACCUAGCGGCGGACGGGUGAGUAAUGCUUAGGAAUCUGCCUAUUAGUGGGGGACAACAUCUCGAAAGGGAUGCUAAUACCGCAUACGUCCUACGGGAGAAAGCAGGGGAUCUUUGGACCUUGCCCUAAUAGAUGAGCCUAAGUCGGAUUAGCUAGUUGGUGGGGUAAAGGCCUACCAAGGCGACGAUCUGUAGCGGGUCUGAGAGGAGGAUCCGCCACACUGGGACUGAGGCACGGCCCAGACUCCUACGGGAGGCAGCAGUGGGGAAUAUUGGACAAUGGGCGGAAGCCUGAUCCAGCCAUGCCGCGUGUGUGAAGAAGGCCUUAUGGUUGUAAAGCACUUUAAGCGAGGAGGAGGCUACUUUAGUUAAUACCUAGAGAUAGUGGACGUUACUCGCAGAAUAAGCACCGGCUAACUCUGUGCCAGCCGCCGCCGUAA
rnacentral:rRNA from 1 species